rnacentral:lncRNA from 1 species
CUGUUUUAGAGCACUCUAUAAAAUGGAUUAUUAUCACAAAUGAUAUAUAAUCAAUCUCCAGGGCCCAGGACAGCCCUUGGAGAUUUCUUUACAGGUACAAGAAUCUCUUCUCUUUCCCAUUCUUUUCUAGGGAGUUUUUUUUUUCCAGUGGGAGCCUCUGCACCUCGGGGACAGAGUGGAGCCAAAUGUCCAGCGUGGUUCGCAGUCCUGUCUGCUCCCUCCCACUUGUCCCUCCACAGGGAAAUCCCAGUGUAUUUUUAGGGAGCCUCAUUGCUGCCGCCUGGCUUCCCCUCCAGGGCCAGCCUGGGAAAGCUCUCGGAACACAGGCCUAGGCUGCUGCAGAGACGGGCCUGAGCCCUUCUCCUCUCUGACCCUGGGCUUUGUCCCCAGAAGGGCUGACCAGGGUAGGAGGCCCAGGGGCUGAGAUGGCCAGAAAGACAAAAGGGUUAAUUAUCUGAACAGUCUUUGGACUUUGGCACACUCAAAAGAGAAAGAAGAUCUGCAAAUCAUUAAGCCAGGGAAUGGCCUUCACGAAAGAAGCAUCUGUGGGCCCGGGGCAGACGGUAUGCAGGUGCCCCCUCCGUGCAUCCGUGUGGCCUGGGCGUCGGUGGGUCAGAGAACCGGAGCAGAAGUGGCCAAGGGCUCCAGGGCCAGGAGGACGCCCGCAGGGAGCCUGCGAGUCGGUCUGGGUGGGGGGGGGGGGGGGGGGCGGGGGCGGGGGGGGCGGGGGACAGGCGCGCGGCGGUCCCCCACCCCUGUCGUCUCUACGGCUCUCCGCACGUUUUCAAAUGCUAGUGUUGGCAGUGUCCUUGAAGGGAUUGAAAGAACUCAGAACACCACCAAACAAGUCAGGGUAAUGAUGGCACUCAGUGCGACAGGGCACGUGUUCCGGAGUCCGGGAAAGCAUCUGCUGUCGUCUCCUGCCCCCCCGAUUUGUCGCCCGGGGCAAAGCCGCGUCCCGGAGCCUUCCCGCCCUGGUCA